rnacentral:rRNA from 1 species
CCUACGAGGUGCAGCAGUGGGGAAUAUUGCGCAAUGGGCGAAAGCCUGACGCAGCGACGCCGCGUGAGGGAUGAAGGUCUUCGGAUCGUAAACCUCUGUCAGCAGGGAAGAACGGUCACUGUGCUAAUCAGCAGUGCAUUGACGGUACCUGCAAAAGCAGCACCGGCUAACUCCGUGCCAGCAGCCGCGGUAAUACGGAGGGUGCGAGCGUUAAUCGGAAUUACUGGGCGUAAAGCGCUCGUAGGCGGUAUGUCAAGUCAAGGGUGAAAUCCCCGGGCUCAACGUGGGAACUGCCUUGGAAACUGGCAAACUGGAGUGUGUGAGAGGAUAGUGGAAUUCCAGGUGUAGGAGUGAAAUGCGUAGAGAUCUGGAGGAACACCGGUGGCGAAGGCGACUAGCUGGAACAUAACUGACGCUGAGGAGCGAAAGCGUGGGUAGCAAACAGGAUUAGAUACCCCUGUAGUC